rnacentral:sRNA from 1 species
AUGGACCACUCCGUACACUGCGGUUCCUGCGCGCCGUCCACGCCCACCUGACCACCGCUCGCUACGUUUUGUUAGCC